UCAAGUGAAUAAGCGCACAUGGCGGAUGCCUUGGCGGUAGAAGGCGAUGAAGGACGUGGUAGCCUGCGAAAAGCUUCGGGGAGCUGGCAAACAAGCUUCGAUCCGGAGAUGUCCGAAUGGGGAAACCCACCGAGUAAUCGGUAUCAGUCACUGAAUAAAUAGGUGGCUGAAGCGAACCUGGUGAAUUGAAACAUCUCAGUAACCAGAGGAAUAGAAAUCAACCGAGAUUCCCUUAGUAGUGGCGAGCGAAAGGGGAACAGCCCAGUCGGGGUAAAUCGGCGAGCGUUAGCAGAACGGUCUGGAAAGGCCGGCCAUAGUGGGUGAUAGCCCCGUAAACGAAAACGCAAACCGAGGACCGACGAAGAGUAGGGCGGGACACGUGUAAUCCUGUCUGAACAUAGGGGGACCAUCCUCUAAGGCUAAAUACUCUCUACCGACCGAUAGUGAACCAGUACCGUGAGGGAAAGGCGAAAAGAACCCCGGAGAGGGGAGUGAAAUAGAACCUGAAACCGUGUGCGUACAAGCAGUCGGAGCCCCGCAAGGGGUGACGGCGUACCUUUUGUAUAAUGGGUCAGCGAGUUAUUUUCAGUGGCGAGGCUAACCGAAUAGGGGAGCCGUAGGGAAACCGAGUCUUAAUCGGGCGUCACAGUCGCUGGGAAUAGACCCGAAGCCAGUCGAUCUAUCCAUGUGCAGGGUGAAGACCAGGUAACACUGGUUGGAGGCCCGAACGAACCACUGUUGCAAUAGUGCGUCGAUGAUGUGUGGAUAGGAGUGAAAGGCUAAUCAAGGCUGGCGAUAGCUGGUUCUCCCCGAAAGCUAUUUAGGUAGUGCCUCGAGUGAUUACUCCGGGGGGUAGAGCACUGUUUGGAGAAGGGGGCCAUCUCGGCCUACCAACUCCAUGCAAACUCCGAAUACCCGGAAGUACAGCUCGGGAGACACACGGCGGGUGCUAACGUCCGUCGUGAAAAGGGAAAAAACCCAGACCAUCAGCUAAGGUCCCAAAAUUUCGGCUAAGUGGUAAACGAUGUGAGAAGGCAUAGACAGCCAGGAGGUUGGCUUAGAAGCAGCCAUCCUUUAAAGAAAGCGUAAUAGCUCACUGGUCUAGUCGGCUCGCGCGGAAGAUUUAACGGGGCUAAGCCGAGUACCGAAGCUAUGGGUGUGCAGCAAUGCACGCGGUAGGGGAGCGUUCUCCAAGCCUGCGAAGGUGCACUGUGAGGUGUGCUGGAGGUACGAGAAGUGCGAAUGCUGACAUGAGUAACGUUAAAACGGGUGAAAAACCCGUUCGCCGUAAACCCAAGGUUUCCCGCGCUACGUUAAUCGGCGCGGGGUUAGUCGGAUCCUAAGGCGAGGCCGAAAGGCGUAGUCGAUGGAAAGCUGGUCAAUAUUCCAGCACCCGGCGUCACUGCGAUGGGAUGACGGAGAAGGCUAGGCGAGCAGCAGCAGUGCUGUUCAAGGUCGUAGGGAGAGUCUCCUGGCAAAUCCGGAGGCUCGUUAAUCCCGAGAGCUGAGUACGAGGGAACUUCGGUUCCCGAAGUCGCUAAUGCCACGCUUCCAGGAAAAGUCUCUAAGCUUCAGGUGACGUUGGUCCGUACCGUAAACCGACUCUGGUGGGUGGGGAGAUAAUCUCCCAAGGCGCUUGAGAGAACUCGGGUUAAGGAACUCUGCAAAUUGAUACCGUAACUUCGGGAGAAGGUAUGCCUCUUCGGGUGACUGGAUUUACUUUAGAAGCCCAGAGAGGCCGCAGGUAAUCGGUGGCUGCGACUGUUUACCAAAAACACAGGACUCUGCUAACACGAAAGUGGAUGUAUAGGGUCUGACGCCUGCCCGGUGCCGGAAGGUUAAUUGAUGGGGUCAGCCGCAAGGCGAAGCUCCUGAUCGAAGCCCCGGUAAACGGCGGCCGUAACUAUAACGGUCCUAAGGUAGCGAAAUUCCUUGUCGGGUAAGUUCCGACCUGCACGAAUGGCGUAACGCUGGCCACACUGUCUCGACCCGAGACUCAGUGAAGUUGAAAUCGCUGUGAAGAUGCGGCGUAGCUGCGGAAAGACGGAAAGACCCCGUGAACCUUUACUACAGCUUUACACUGAACUUUGAAUUUGUUUGUGUAGGAUAGGUGGGAGCCUAUGAAGCGUGGGCGCUAGCUCGCGUGGAGGCAACGUUGAAAUACCACCCUGACAACUUCGGAGUUCUAACCUUGGUCCAUCAUCUGGAUCGGGGACAAUGUAUGGUUUUGUAUCGUGACUGGGAAAC
rnacentral:rRNA from 1 species